rnacentral:rRNA from 1 species
GCUGAAACCCGACCUCCAUGAAGUUGGAUUCGCUAGUAAUCGCGCAUCAGCCAUGGCGCGGUGAAUACGUUCCCGGGCCUUGUACACACCGCCCGUCAAGCCAUGGGAGCCGGGGGUGCCUGAAGUUCGUGACCGCAAGGAGCGACCUAGGGCAAAACUGGUGACUGGGGCUAAGUCGUAACAAGGUAGC